CCGGGUGUGGCGCAGAUGGUAGCGUGCUUGAAUGGGGUUCAAGAGGCCGCUGGUUCAAAUCCAGUCACUCGGACCA
rnacentral:tRNA from 1 species